rnacentral:rRNA from 1 species
CCUACGGGAGGCAGCAGUGGGGAAUAUUGCACAAUGGGGGAAACCCUGAUGCAGCGACGUCGCGUGAGUGCAGAAGUAAUUCGUUAUGUAAAGCUCUAUUAGCAGGGAAGAAAAUGACGGUACCUGAGUAAGAAGCCCCGGCUAACUACGUGCCAGACGCCUCGGUAAGACGUAGGGGGCACGCAUUAUCCGGAUUUACUGGGGGUAAAGGGAGCGUAGACGGCAGUGCAAGUCUGGAGUGAAAGGCGGGGGCUCAACCCCCGGACUGCUGUGGAAACUGUACGGAUGGAGUGCAGGAGAGGUAAGUGGAAUGCCUAGUGUAGCGGUGAAAUGCGUAGAUAUUAGGAGGAACACCAGUGGCGAAGGCGGCUGACUGGACUGUAACUGACGUUGAGGCUCGAAAGCGUGGGUAGCAAACAGGAUUAGAUACCCUGGUAGUC